GUCUCUCUGGGAAUGAGGAAGAGAUUUUAACGGGAAUUGUGUGGCUGGGUACACUUUAUUGAUCAGUGCGCUGGUCUUCAGACCUUAACUCUCCUCUCAUUCGUUACAUUUUGUCACAAUCCUGUCUUAGGGUGGUAGGAAUGAUGCAUUAAAGUCAAGAGAUCACAAUGACAUCAUAUAAUACCAAGUCAUAAAAGCUAACCUGGGACGUUCAACCUUGGAUAUGGGGAGUCAGGGAGGAAAUGGUUUCCUAGGAUUUGUAGAGUCCUCUCUAUCUAAAAGGGGUAUCUUUUCGGUGGUGGUCGGGUGAGGGAAAGCGAUCCUUUUAUUUCUGGAGAAACAGAGACGUCUCCACCAUAUGACUUCCUCUCCAUCCCAUCAUCCUCACAUCUCUAGUCCUCUCUAGACAUUUCUACUCCCUGUUUUUCUCUUCUUUGCGGCUACUUUGUGGUUUGUUUCCCUGCUUUGUAAAGGAGGAACGUUUUUUUUAUGUUGUUCUUUUUUUGUCAUUUUGAUGGGAUGAUAAAAUUCUCUUAAUUUGUUUGAUCCCAGGAAAGCUACUUUUCUACCCAGAUCCACAACAAGGGGGUGUACGGAAAGGCGAGAGGUGUGGUCACAUAAGCGGGAGGGGAAGAGAGACAGCAGGAAGGAAGAAAGGGAAGGCACCGGAAUGGGCGGGGUCACAGCGAGGGGCGUGGCCAUGGCCAGGGGACUGGGCAAAUGCCUUGGAAGAGAGUGGGGAAACUCAUAGAAAGCUCAUUUUACAGAUGAGAAAAUUGAAGCAAACAGUUAAGUGACAUGCCCAAGGUCACAGAGCUAAUCCACCAAGGUACCCCAUUUCCUUUGUGUCUUGAAAGUUUGUAGAGCAGCCAGACCCUAUAAGGGUUCUAUGAUUCUCUGAAGACCAUUUCCAGGCAGUGAUUGGACUGAAGUGGUGCCAUAGUAAGUGAUUUCCCCCUCCUCCACAUUCUAAGUUAAUCCAAAUUCACUUUAAAUAUAUAUAGAUAUAAAUGCUAUGCCAAGUGCAAACCUGUUGUGUUAUAAUUUGAAAUUCAUGAUGAAAUAAGCAUAUUUGACAACGUUUCUCAUGCUAUUUUGGAUAAGAUAGGGAAAUGUAGG
rnacentral:lncRNA from 1 species